rnacentral:tRNA from 1 species
GCAAUAGCUCAAUUGGCAGAGCGUCGGUCUCCAAAACCGAAGGUUGUGGGUUCGAUUCCCUCUUGCC